AACGAACGCUGGCGGCAUGCCUAACACAUGCAAGUCGAACGAGACCUUCGGGUCUAGUGGCGCACGGGUGCGUAACGCGUGGGAACCUGCCCUUAGGUUCGGAAUAACUCCCCGAAAGGGGUGCUAAUACCGGAUAAUGUCUUCGGACCAAAGAUUUAUUGCCUUUGGAUGGGCCCGCGUUGGAUUAGCUAGUUGGUAGGGUAAAAGCCUACCAAGGCGACGAUCCAGAGCUGGUGUGGGAGGAUGACAAGCCACGCUGGGGCUGAGACACGGCCCAGACUCCGACGGGAGGGAGCAGUGGGGAAUAUUGGACGAUGGGCGAAGGCCUGAUCCAGCAAUGCCGGGUAAGUGAUGAAGGCCUUAGGGUUGUAAAGCUCUUUUACCCGGGAUGAUAAUGACAGUACCGGGAAAAUAAGCUCCGGCUAACUCCGUG
rnacentral:rRNA from 1 species